CUGCAUGAAAUUUCAACAAGAACCAUAAAAAGCCAGAAGAGAGGUAUUGGUAAAGCCACCGCAGAACUGUACGUGAAACCAUUGAUAACAAAUUUAAAGCCUGCUUGUGUAUAAACCAGUUGAAAGAUAAAUGCUGUGCAAGUACAUUCAGACACACACACAACCUGACAAAUGACAGGAAAAAAGGGCAGAGGAAAAGAGGAUGGGAAACAAUGUAAAGCAUGUCAAAGAAAUAGGCAACUCUGAACACACUCAGAAUCAAUUAUGAGAUGAUUCCAAGUAAAAGCUGGGCACAAGCAAUACUCAUAAAAUUUCAUACAUUCGCAAUUUUCAUUAUACAACGGGCUCCAGGUAGAUUAUUCGUGGGAAACAACCUCAAUUAAGAUUAGAAGACACGACAACAUCCUCCAGAUUUUCUCCUAUUAGAAAAAGAUACUAUUAAUUAUAGAUAAUUUCCUUGGAAAAAAAAAAGCUAAAUAAAGUGAACUGAAACAAAGCUCAGUGGCUACAAGAUAACACUACAAGCUCAGUGGCUACAACACUUAUUGGAGGGAAAGAUUGUUUGCCUAACUAAAUUUAAAAAGCAAUAUAAGAUUUGAAUAAACAACUACUAUUACACCCAAAUACGCAAGAUUGACAGGGGAAGCAAAAACCUCCAUCAACACAGAUUUUAUUCAUGAUGAUACCAAGCCGUUUGCAGAUUCAGCUUCCAUAUCUAGUUCGGGAAGAUCAGAUUCGAAGAAUGUUGAGUGCAGAGCUCUGACCUUAGCUUGUACACCACCAGACAUCACAGAAGUAUAUGAUUACAGGUCUCCAUAGUGCUUUUACAAAGAUAACAACCAUUCACCACAAUCUUAUCCCUUCUCAUCAAUUUGACGAUGGUCAGAAUGCACCCUAUCAGCCUCCCAUGCAAAGAAAGUGACUCUGGGAGGGACUUUAACCCCCCAAAUUUUUCUAAAUGGAAAACUAGUACCAGUCUUUUCAUCCUUGGUCAUAUGCUUGUAGAAAGAUUUGGGACCCAUAAGUAGGUAAGGAGAUAAAUCGAAGCCAUUUAAGUGAGGAUCCCUUACUAAUGUUCCUAAGAAAAAAGAAAAGGAUAAACUACUGAGGACUUAUAUGAUUCAACUCCUACUCUAUUCCUAAUUAAUUGACAUGCCUAUAUCUAGAUUAGCUUAAAACGAUAAGUAUAAAUGGCUCUGGAGGUUCAUGAGGGAACAAAAUAGUUCUUGGAGAAAGGUGAUUAUGACAAAAUAUGGUUUAAAUGCUUAUAGUUGGUAGGCCAAAGCCCUAGGGGCCCCCAN
rnacentral:lncRNA from 1 species